rnacentral:rRNA from 1 species
AUUGAACGCUGGCGGCAGGCCUAACACAUGCAAGUCGAGCGGAUGAGGGGAGCUUGCUCCCUGAUUUAGCGGCGGACGGGUGAGUAAUGCCUAGGAAUCUGCCUGGUAGUGGGGGAUAACGUUCCGAAAGGAACGCUAAUACCGCAUACGUCCUACGGGAGAAAGCAGGGGACCUUCGGGCCUUGCGCUAUCAGAUGAGCCUAGGUCGGAUUAGCUAGUUGGUGAGGUAAUGGCUCACCAAGGCGACGAUCCGUAACUGGUCUGAGAGGAUGAUCCGUCACACUGGAACUGAGACACGGUCCAGACUCCUACGGGAGGCAGCAGUGGGGAAUAUUGGACAAUGGGCGAAAGCCUGAUCCAGCCAUGCCGCGUGUGUGAAGAAGGUCUUCGGAUUGUAAAGCACUUUAAGUUGGGAGGAAGGGCUGCUGGUUAAUACCCUGCAGUUUUGACGUUACCAACAGAAUAAGCACCGGCUAACUUCGUG